rnacentral:misc_RNA from 1 species
UAGAGAGGGUCUCAACUAUUGUGCAGAGUAAGCAGCAGAGGACAGAGGGGGAAGAAGCAUAAGCUAAAGCUACUCACUGAAAUAUAUCUAUACCUUAAAUAAAUCUCCAUUUCCAAUCCAUGGCUGUCUUGUUCUCUUUGCUUCUCCCACAUUUUAAUCUUUAACAAGCUCAUUCUCUACCUCUCUACUUGUUCCUUAACAAAGGUCAGUAAGAUUGUACACUAUCCUCCUUUCAUUUCCCUUUUUGCAUCCGAGAAAAUGCAAGAAAAGUUUAUGGAAGGAAAUGUCUUUUUUGUGUAAAAUUAUCUUUUAACACUUACCGAGAACUCGAAACAUCAUUUUUAGUGUUAUCUGACCUAUUAUUCCAACUUUCUCACUUUUCUCGGCAGCCAAACGGUGAUAAUUCUUUCUUUUUUUUGCCCUUUUUUUCUUGUAUUAUUUUUUACUUCCCUGCUGAAGUAAAGCCACAGUUUUCUUUUCUUUUUAAAAAUACUUGCUUAGAUAUUUAAUUGCAUUUUAUUUCUCUGACAGCAAUUAUUCCCUUUGAAGUUCUUUUGCUGAGAGUUCUGGUUUUCUUGAAAAGUCUUACUAUUAUCUGAUAAUGUAGCCUUUGAUUUUCGAGUCCCAAAAGCUUGAAGCUUGAAGCUUGUAGCAGGCUAUUUUUACAAGCGUGGUUUUGUCAUUUCAGUGGGCAGAGGGAGAUGGAAAAAGGGAAAAAAGAGCAAAAUCGAAUCUAAUAAAGGCUGACAUACAUUUUUUUUUGUUUUAUUUUUUGUCAUUUCUCUG